CGUCGUGAAGAGGGAGACAACCCAGACCGCCAGCUAAGGUCCCAAAGUCAUGGUUAAGUGGGAAACGAUGUGGGAAGGCACAGACAGCCAGGAUGUUGGCUUAGAAGCAGCCAUCAUUUAAAGAAAGCGUAAUAGCUCACUGGUCGAGUCGGCCUGCGCGGAAGAUGUAACGGGGCUAAACCAUGCACCGAAGCUGCGGCAGCGACACUAUGUGUUGUUGGGUAGGGGAGCGUUCUGUAAGCCUGCGAAGGUGACCUGUGAGGGUUGCUGGAGGUAUCAGAAGUGCGAAUGCUGACAUAAGUAACGAUAAAGCGGGUGAAAAGCCCGCUCGCCGGAAGACCAAGGGUUCCUGUCCAACGUUAAUCGGGGCAGGGUGAGUCGACCCCUAAGGCGAGGCCGAAAGGCGUAGUCGAUGGGAAACAGGUUAAUAUUCCUGUACUUGG
rnacentral:rRNA from 1 species